rnacentral:rRNA from 1 species
AGUGGCGGACGGGUGAGUAACGCGUAAGAAUCUAACUUCAGGACGGGGACAACAGUUGGAAACGACUGCUAAUACCCGAUGUGCCGCGAGGUGAAACCUAAUUGGCCUGAAGAAGAGCUUGCGUCUGAUUAGCUAGUUGGUGGGGUAAAGGCCUACCAAGGCGACGAUCAGUAGCUGGUCUGAGAGGAUGAGCAGCCACACUGGGACUGAGACACGGCCCAGACUCCUACGGGAGGCAGCAGUGGGGAAUUUUCCGCAAUGGGCGAAAGCCUGACGGAGCAACGCCGCGUGAGGGAGGAAGGUCUUUGGAUUGUAAACCUCUUUUCUCAAGGAAGAAGUUCUGACGGUACUUGAGGAAUCAGCCUCGGCUAACUCCGUGCCAGCAGCCGCGGUAAUACGGGGGAGGCAAGCGUUAUCCGGAAUUAUUGGGCGUAAAGCGUCCGCAGGUGGUCAGCCAAGUCUGCUGUCAAAUCAGGUUGCUUGACGACCUAAAGGCGGUGGAAACUGGCAGACUAGAGAGCAGUAGGGGUAGCAGGAAUUCCCAGUGUAGCGGUGAAAUGCGUAGAGAUUGGGAAGAACAUCGGUGGCGAAAGCGUGCUACUGGGCUGUAUCUGACACUCAGGGACGAAAGCUAGGGGAGCGAAAGGGAUUAGAUACCCCUGUAGUCCUAGCCGUAAACGAUGGAUACUAGGCGUGGCUU